rnacentral:rRNA from 1 species
UACAGAGGUCUCAAGCGUUGUUCGGAUUCAUUGGGCAUAAAGGGUGCGUAGGCGGCGGGGCAAGUCGGAUGUGAAAUCUCAGGGCUCAACCCUGAAACUGCAUUCGAUACUGCCUUGCUCGAGGACUGGAGAGGAGAUUGGAAUUCACGGUGUAGCAGUGAAAUGCGUAGAUAUCGUGAGGAAGACCAGUGGCGAAGGCGGAUCUCUGGACAGUUCCUGACGCUGAGGCACGAAGGCCAGGGGAGCAAACGGG